AUGUCCAGUACUCCAGUUCUUGCCCUUCCUGACUACAGUAAGCCUUUUGCUAUUGAAACUGACGCCUCUGACAGUGGCAUUGGUGCAGUACUGUCUCAAAACGACCACCCAAUUGCUUAUCUUAGUCAAGCCUUGGGUGUUGUCAACAAGAAGUUAUCAGUUUAUGAGAAAGAAUUUCUUGCGGUUAUUAUGGCUAUUGACAAAUGGCGAAAACACCUUCAGAGGGGCCCUUUUGCUAUAGUGACUGACCAUAGAAGUCUCUGUCAUUUACAAGAGCAACAACUGACCUCUGAUCUGCAGCAUAAAGCAAUGGCAAAAAUGGCGGGUUUACAGUUUCACUUCAAAUACAGAAAAGGCUCAGAAAACAGUGUUGCAGAUGCUCUCUGUCCCGGGUGA
rnacentral:rRNA from 1 species